rnacentral:ncRNA from 8 species
UGAGGUAGUAGGUUGUAUAGUUAG